rnacentral:lncRNA from 1 species
GGCCAGUCUUCCUCAGCAAAAAGAGGAGGAUUGGCAGUAGUUAGCUCAGGGCUAAUCUUCCUCAAAAAAAAAAAAAAUAAAAUAAAAUAAAUGAAAAGGAAAGAAAAAUUUCUCCUUGUGAUGAGAACUCUUAGGAUCUAUUCUCUUAACAACUUUCCUAUAUGUCACACAGCAGUGUUAACUAUAGUCAUCAAGUUGUACAUUGCAUCCGCGGUAUUUAUUUAUCUUAUAACUAGAAGUGUGUACCUUUUGACCACCUUCCUCCAAAUACAUAAACAGCUUUUGCACUAGCUCAAUAUUUACUUAUAACAGAUUAAUGCUAUUUAUACGAAUUCGUGCUGGAUUCUGUCUGCUUUAGAGGUCAACUUCUAGAUUGACAGAAAAAACCCUGGUAAAACAAUUGCCUUGUAGAACAGAAAAAGUAGCUGGUUGUAAUUGGAAGGCAACUACGAAUAUUUGAUUUAUCGAAAAAAAUUUAAGUAUUACAAGAAGAGACAUGUGAGUUCUUUGUCAUCAACCAGCAAGACAGAGGAGGAAGUAGAAAAGAGUAUUGACCUUAGACAUGGAUGUUGAAGCCCAGGAGGAUGAAGUAACCUGCCUGAACGGCAGAGCCAGGACUCAUUCUCAUCUUCUGACACAAUCCUGUUGAAUGGAAAGGUGCUGGGUACCAAGACUGAGCACUUUGAACCUCACAAAUGCCAAUUGGCACAGGUGGGGAGUAUCUGUGUUGGAAGGAUCUAAGGGGUAAGGACAGUGGUAUGUUGGCAUUGAUGUCUCUCUGUAUUUUUCUUUUUCAGGUGCCUGAUUUUAUUAUUUCUUCCAGAAAGUUCUGGAUUCUGAAUGUCUACUCAAAUACAAGCACGUUCUCUGCUUCUUUAUUCUUUUGCUAAAUGCGGGCAUUUGUUCUGCACAACUGCCUCUUCUGUUUGAUUACUGAUGCUACAACCGUAGCAGAAAAGAGAGCCUUUUUCCCUAACUUGGGGGCUGUGCUCUAUGUGUUGUUACCCUUCUCCUUCUUUUCCUUGGGGCAGAGACCUGAUUCCUGUGCUAGGUUUGUGCCCAAAUAAAAAAGAAUUUGGCUGUUUUGCUCAGAAACCUAAGGCCAAAUGAUUGCACAUAGGUUCUACAUAAUUAAUAGAGAAAAAUUUUUCAAGCUACUUGAGGACACUCCCAGUGAGAAUUUGGAGCUUCGUUCCUUGAGGAUUCUUAACACAAGGUCCCAAUUUGACCACUAAAGACCUGAGGAAAUCCUUUUUUUCCUGUUUGAAUUGUCUUCAAAGUGAAUUUUCCAAAGCCACCCCACUGAGUGACCAUGAGGGAAAAUUGGAAAUUAGUGGCUGACGUCAUGUUGGUGGAGGGGAAAGAGAAAGCUCAUAUCCCCCAACUUGCACCAGGAAAGAGCAGAAGCUGGAAGUGAAUUAUAGUUGAGAGGCGAUGAGGGGAAGCUGCAAGACUGAGAGCCUGAGCGCCA